AUUGAAUUUAGUGUGAUUAUAUUGCUGGGUUUCAAUUUAUCAUUUUGCUAUUGGUUUUUCUCUUUGUUUAAUCUAUUCUCUUUAUUUUCUCCCCCGACCCCACUUCUGCCUUUGGAUUGAAUAUUUUGCAUGAUUCCUGUGUUGUUAGAACUAUUUAAAUUGUGUGCUCAUAGGACUGUCAGUCAGGUGUAGGCAGAGGAGGAAACGCAGGAGAGGCUUGUCAAAGAACAAAGUUUUAUUAUACUUACAGGUCCUAGAGAGAGAGUCAUUGCACACCAAGGGAACCAAGGGGGCACAGACAGCAUCAAGGAGGCUGGCUCAACUGAGCUGUUAGGGAGCCAAGAGAAUGAAGACCUAUGGGGAAGUGCCUUUAUUGGCAGCCAGGAUGGAGUACACAAACAGCACAACAGAACUUGUGGCAGGGCCAGCCUAAUCACACUGGUAUAGCUGGCUGGGGGGCUCACAGCCUGUUUGUGGGGAUACCGAGGCAGCAGGAAAAUACAGUGCUUUAAAAUUUACAUUACAGUUUGCCCUGUGGUGCCUCAACAUCAUUACAAUACUAAUCGGAUGGAUAACACUUGCCACCUGGGUUGUGAUGUUAAAGGUGCCUGGGACAGCAUGACUUAGCCACUGAAGGCUCAAAUGGGUGCCAUAGCAGAUGAGUAGCUGCCUGAAGCAUGGGACAGUCUCUAUGGUCAUUGAGUCCAAGGAAAAUAAGCACCCUCGAUCCAGCCUUCCACCCUGUGCUCCUGGAGAAAAAUGGAUGCAGCUAUGAUCUAUCUUGCAAAGACUGUGUGUGAUGGCAGAGCUGCUGAGGUACCCCACAGGUAGCCUGAAACAGGAGUAUUGUGUUCCUUCAGAAAUGAAGGUGAACUGUAGUUGAGAGGCUAUUGAAAUGGGCCUGGAACAGAACACACUCUCCAAAUCUAUAAAAGCAAAAUAUUUGCUCAUUAUUGAUUUAAUAGAAUCAGUAAUUUUAAUAAUAUUAGCUGUUUUGUAUGGGGGCCCUAAUUGGUAGGAACACAUUGUUAAGGUUAUAGUAAUGCACCAUGAGGCACUUUACCCUUUUUUUAUCCCCCAGGUUUAACAGGCAAGAUUGGGAUAUCAAAUAGAGAAGCAGUUGGGAUAAUUGCCUUUUUAUUAAUUAGGUUUAACCCUUGAAGGCCCUGUUGUACCCUAUAUUGGACCAGAUUAACUAUUUUAACUGGGUAUUCAUGGGGUCCCAUUUUAUCAAGCCAGUUUGUAAAAGACCUACCUUAAUUUAUGAUUUAUGUUAGAGCAUCUAUGCUCCAAUAUGGGAUAUAUUAGGGCAAUGGGUAUUAUGACUUGGGAAAUAUAGGCAAGGCUACAUUUAAAGUGAGGCAUUCCUACUUUUUCUCUAUUUUAUAUAUAGUGACUUUCUUAAGAUAGGAGAGGCACAAUGCUUAAAUUUAAUGGGAUCCCCCGGUAUAACUGUAAUUUGAGCUCCAGUACUGAUUAUGUCCAUGGAGUUUUGUCAUUGGGUACAUUUUAGCUUCUUUUAAUUUCAACCUGAUAGACCUCCUUUAGCCUUUUUUUUUUUUUUUUUUUUUUUUUGCAGAGCAGGUCUAGUGAUAAUCAACUCCCUCCACUUUUGUUUAUCUGGGAAUAUGUGAAUUUCUCCAUAAUUUUUCAAGAACAUUUUGCUGAAUAUAAAAUUCUCUAUUGACAGCUUUUUUUCUUCACCCUUUACGUUUAUUGACCCACUUCCUUCUAGCUUCCAAGGUUUCUGAUGAGACACUGGCUAAUAGUCUUGAGGAUCCCCUAUAUGAGAGGAGUUGCUUCUCUCUUCCUAUUUUCAAGAUUAUCUGUCUUUGGCUUUUGACAUUUGAUUAUGUGUCUCAGUGUGGGUCUCUUCACAAUUCUCCUGCUUAGAGUUCAUUCAUGGUGAACUCUUGCUGGGUUGGCAAAUUCAUAUCUUUCAUCAAAUUUGGAGAUUUUUCAGCCAUUAUGUCUUCAAGUAUUUUUCUCUGCCCCUUUCUUUCUUUUCCCCUUCAGGGAUUCCCAAAUUGUUGUUGUGCUAAAGUUCCAAUCCUCAUUCUUUUUUAUAUUGAUAAUUUGUAUUUUCCUGUUUUUAAGUUUGCUGAAUCUCUCCUCUGAUUGCAUGUCUUCUGAAUCCCUUUAUUGUAUUCAUAUUUUGUUUCCAUUACUGUAAAUUUUGAUCUAGAAUGUUUUUUGUUCUUUUUAGAAAUCAUUUUAUCUCUUUAUUUCUAUCCUCAUUUUGCUCAUACAUCUUUUUCCUUUGUUCAUGUCUUUAGCUUUUUAAGCAUCUUUAA
rnacentral:lncRNA from 1 species